ACAUGCAAGUCGAACGGACUUUAUUGAAGCCUAGCGAUAUAAAAGUUAGUGGCGGACGGGUGAGUAACGCGUGAAUAACCUGCCCUUUGGAUGGGGACAACAUUCCGAAAGGAGUGCUAAUACCGAAUGUGACAGGAUUCUCGCAUGAGAGUCUUGUGAAAGAUGGCCUCUACAUGUAAGCUAUCGCCAAAGGAUGGGCCUGCGUCUGAUUAGCUAGUUGGUGGGGUAACGGCUCACCAAGGCGACGAUCAGUAGCCGGUCUGAGAGGAUGAACGGCCACAUUGGGACUGAGACACGGCCCAGACUCCUACGGGAGGCAGCAGUGGGGAAUCUUCCGCAAUGGGCGAAAGCCUGACGGAGCAAUGCCGCGUGAGUGAUGAAGGUUUUCGGACUGUAAAGCUCUUUUGUUUAUGACGAAUGUGCAUGAUGUGAACAAUGUUGUGUAAUGACGGUAGUAAACGAAUAAGCCACGGCUAACUACGUG
rnacentral:rRNA from 1 species